UAAAGUGGCGCACGGGUGAGUAACACGUGAAUAAUCUACCUCCGAGUGGGGAAUAACUGAGAGAAAUCUUAGCUAAUACCGCAUAAUACCCACGGGUCAAAGCAUCAAUGCGCUUGGAGAGGAGUUCGCGGCCGAUUAGUUAGUUGGCGGGGUAAUGGCCCACCAAGACGAUGAUCGGUAUCCGGCCUGAGAGGGCGCACGGACACACUGGAACUGAAACACGGUCCAG
rnacentral:rRNA from 1 species